AGGAAGAUGUUGUUGUCCUAGAAAUGACUCUCCUGGUCACUGUGCACAAUACUGCAGCUACACCACCAUGGAGAAUGACACCAAGGAGAUCAUUCAUGUUGCCACCAUAGACAAGUGGCAAGCAUCAUGGAACUCUGUCGUCAUGGAGAAGGAGGGUUUCAUCCAGACUGGACAAGCUUACAUCAGAAAUAAAGCUAGUGGAGAUCUGCACAGAUGCUCAUGCCCAGAUUGGUGCCCUUAUGAACCCAGACAAAGGCAAAUACAAGGCCCUUGGAAUUCAUCACAGUCUGGAUAUGUGGCAUGGUGCGAAGAACCUUGCCAAAAAAAAUAGCAGCAGUAAGUGUAAUAACUGGCUA